GCUGAGAGGGCCAGAGAGGUGGUGUUGGUGUGGUCCUACAGAGGGGGAGGCCAGGCCGGCUGGCCCCACCCAGGCCGUGGCCGGGAAGGGAGGGAGCCGGAGAGGGCUCUGGCCAAGUCGUAAACAAUGCUGGUUCCUUCCUGCUGCGAAGGCCUGCGCUCUCCAGGGAGAAAGCUGGGGACCAGCCAGGCAGCCCUUCGGUGACUUCACAAAGAGAGGAAGAGCGGCCGCUCAGACUUCCCCUCUCUGCAGCCCGCUCGCUUCCAGCGGCCCUGCCCCGCCCCGUGAUGGGCUCCCGCAGCCUGGACAGAGUCACAGACUGUCAACAGUGAAGACCGGGCCCUCAGAGACGUCAGUCCAGCCCCUUCACUUCGCAGGGAAGACGGGAGCUGGUGUGCUCGCUUCGGCAGCACAUGUACUAAAAUUGGAACGAUACAGAGAAAAUUAGCAUGGCCCCUGCACAAGGAUGACAUGCAAAUUCGGGAAGUGUUCCAUAUUAAAAAAAGAAAGAAAAAAAAAAAAGAUGGGAGCUGGAAGCUUCAGAAAAACACAUUUGCUGGCCUUCAAAGUACCUUGGGACACUCCUUCCUGUAUUAGAGAUUAGCUGUGACCAGACAUGUCCCCUCUGGCGAAGGCUUUCUUCAGCUGCCGCCUUCUCUGAAAUCUCUGUGGUUGGCUCUGCCUGCGGCCCCGGGGCCCCUUCCCUGGGCUGUCCGCACCAGCCUUUUUUCUCCUGUGGAUGAAAAGGGACCACAUACUGAACCUGACAAGCUCAGGGAAGGCCUGCGUGUGGGUCUUGCAAACUCGGAGACCUAAAGUAACCACAAAGGAUGGUCUGAAAUGAAAACUCUUUAACUAAAAGCUGUUUAUGGCAGGUAGUCAUGUCCUAGGCUAGACUCUACCCCUGCAAAGGUCAUCUUCACCUUAACUAAGCCUGUCUAUUGUCUUUUGCAUCUACAAUAACAUUCCUCUGGAAUGUCUAGACCCCUUUUUCUAGACUCCUCAGGGCACAACCAGUGCAACAAGGCAGAGAGCUCUCACUGUUAUUGUUGCCGUGUUAGUUAUUGACUGUUAACUAUCCUGUACCCACCCAUGUAAAAGAAAUAUGUGUCUAUCAUUUUACUUUUUAUACAGUCCCAGAGGUUCCCCCUCCUCGAUUUCUCCCACCUCCCUAACCUAUCACCAAUGGAUUUCAUGUUCCACAUACGUCUCUUCCGAUUGUAAUCUCUCUAUAUAAAAGCCUAAGUGACCAUUACAACCGAAAGACUAGAACGACCGGUCGACCGGUCACUAUGACGUGCACUGACCACCAGGAGGCAGACACUCAACGCAGGAGCUGCCCCCUGGUGGUCAGUGCGCUCCCACAGCGGGAACGCCGCUCAGCCAGAAGCUGGCUCCCGGUUGGCAGCUGUGGGAGCCGUGCCCGCCCCGCCUGGGGCUCCUCCCUGGCCGCCUGCCCCUUCGGCACUGCUACAUCCCUGGCCAGGGUGGGGGGAUGCCCCCCGAGGGGUCCCAGAUUGUGAGAGGGCUCAGGCCAGACUGAGGGACCCCACCUGUGCAUGAAUCUGUGCACCGGGCCUCUAGUGUAUAAAUCAAGGUGCAAAACUACCAUUAUCUCAGUCUGAUGAUAUUCUGCUUCCCAGCAACUGUGGACAGUUUGGCUCAA